AACGUAGGAGGCGAGCGUUAUCCGGAUUUACUGGGUGUAAAGCGCGUGCAGGCGGUUCGCUAAGUUGGAUGUGAAAGCUCCCGGCUCAACUGGGAGAGGUCGUACAAGACUGGCGGGCUGGAGUGUGGUAGGGGAAGGUGGAAUUCCGGGUGUAGUGGUGAAAUGCGUAGAUAUCCGGAGGAACACCAGUGGCGAAAGCGGCCUUCUAGACCACAACUGACGCUCAGACGCGAAAGCUAGGGUAGCAAACGGG
rnacentral:rRNA from 1 species